CCUACGGGAGGCAGCAGUGGGGAAUAUUGCACAAUGGGCGAAAGCCUGAUGCAGCAACGCCGCGUGAGUGAUGAAGGCCUUCGGGUUGUAAAGCUCUGUCUUAUGGGACGAUAAUGACGGUACCAGAGGAGGAAGCCACGGCUAACUACGUGCCAGCAGCCGCGGUAAU
rnacentral:rRNA from 1 species